AAAUUGAAGAGUUUGAUCAUGGCUCAGAUUGAACGCUGGCGGCAGGCCUAACACAUGCAAGUCGAGCGGAAACGACACUAACAAUCCUUCGGGUGCGUUAAUGGGCGUCGAGCGGCGGACGGGUGAGUAAUGCCUAGGAAAUUGCCUUGAUGUGGGGGAUAACCAUUGGAAACGAUGGCUAAUACCGCAUAAUGCCUACGGGCCAAAGAGGGGGACCUUCGG
rnacentral:rRNA from 1 species